rnacentral:rRNA from 1 species
GGGGAAUAUUGCGCAAUGGGGGGAACCCUGACGCAGCCAUGCCGCGUGAAUGAAGAAGGCCUUAGGGUUGUAAAGUUCUUUCGGUAUUGAGGAAGGUUGAUGUGUUAAUAGCACAUCAAAUUGACGUUAAAUACAGAAGAAGCACCGGCUAACUCCGUGCCAGCAGCCGCGGUAAUACGGAGGGUGCGAGCGUUAAUCGGAAUAACUGGGCGUAAAGGGCACGCAGGCGGUUAUUUAAGUGAGGUGUGAAAGCCCCGGGCUUAACCUGGGAAUUGCAUUUCAGACUGGGUAACUAGAGUACUUUAGGGAGGGGUAGAAUUCCACGUGUAGCGGUGAAAUGCGUAGAGAUGUGGAGGAAUACCGAAGGCGAAGGCAGCCCCUUGGGAAUGUACUGACGCUCAUGUGCGAAAGCGUGGGGAGCAAACAGGAUUAGAUACCCUGGUAGUCCACGCUGUAAACGCUGUCGAUUUGGGGGUUGGGGUUUAACUCUGGCGCCCGUAGCUAACGUGAUAAAUCAACCGCCUGGGGAGUACGGCCGCAAGGUUA